CUCAUCGCCUCAUUUGUUACUUGCAUGUGUUUUUAGUGCCUCGAGCACAACAUCUCAUCAAAGCCCUCUGCGUCAUGCGCCGGGCUAUAAUCGCAAUUUCCCACAAUUGAGGUGCUACAUCCAUUGCAGACGACUUUGGCGCAACCAGGUAUUGUAAGUGUGAGAGUAGGCUUGUCCUACGAUCCACUAAGAUUCAGCCUGCGUUGUACGAUGUGU
rfam:Eimeria maxima Weybridge genomic scaffold, Emw_scaff1342